GACAUUCGGAGCUGCUCUUCAGGGUUCUGGGCACGUCGCAUAUUGCGCCCCAGCCUUCUCAGCAGCCAGGAGCUGGGAGGUGGAGGGGCCUGUGGUCUGGCCGCCACCUAGCAGGCCUGCAUGGCCACCUCCAGCCGGGUGCAGGCUGGCUGGGGUGGGGCUGCCCUUGACCUUGGGCUCUCCCUCCUCCGCCAGAUCCUCAGGCGCUGGCUCAGCCUCCCACGGCCUGGGGGAGCCUCUGUCUGCUCCUUCCAGCCGUUCAAGGACGAGGCUUCCGAAAGACUCACUGUUCCUGUGUGGGGAACUGAGGCUGUGUGAAGGCUGGAUGAACCGCUGCUGUGGCCUGAGUCCUCCGGAGGCUGAGAGCAAACGGCUGCACUAGGAACCCAGCAGUCAGACCGGCCCCCACCCUGGAGUGAACACAUCGCCACUGCCAGGCAUCGCAGGGAGGAUUACCCCAAUGGCACCUGGCUGGGCGACGAGAACAACCCCGAGAUGCGGGUGCACUGCGCCAUCAUCCCCUCCGACAUGCUGCACAUCAGCACCAACUGCCGCACGGCCGAGGAGAUGGUGCUCACGCUGCUGGACUACCUCUUCCACCGCGAGGUGCAGGCUGUGUCCAGCCUCUCGGGGCAGGGCAAGCACGGGAAGAAGCAGCUGGACCCGCUCACCAUCUAUGGCAUCCGGUGUCACCUUUUCUAUAAAUUUGGCAUCACAGAAUCUGACUGGUACCGAAUCAAGCAGAGCAUCGACUCCAAGUGCCGCACGGCGUGGCGGCGCAAGCAGUGGGGCCAGAGCCUGGUGGUCAAGAGCUUCUCGUGGAGAAUGCCCAACUCAUCCUCCUACUGCCCCUCAGAGCCGAUGAUGAGCACCCCACCUCCUGCCAGAGAGCUCCUGCAGCCACAGCUGCAGCCGCAGGCCCUGCACUACGCGCUGGCCAACGUGCAGCAGGUGCAGAUCCACCAGAUCGGAGAAGACGGACAGGUGCAAGUAGUACGUACCCUCUCCACCUCGCACCUUGGUAAAGGGGGCUGUGGGGUGGGCCACGGCGGGGCCAUGGCGGCUUCCACCAGUUCCGCUGUGUUUCGGGAGCACAGUGAUAGCUUGGGAGGAGGCACAAGGUUCCCAUUUAAAGUAGAGGUCAUCGUGGCCAUGAGCUCUUAACAUUUCACAGGUGGGGGCGGCUGCUGCAGAGCCUAGGGAUUGAAGCACAUGGUGGGGUGGGGCAUUCAGUCAGCUCACCUCAGUCCUGCCAGCAGGCAGGCGGGCAGUCAGCUCCAAGGGUCAGGCCGUGCAGUGGUCCCUGCCCCAGCUCGUGCUCCUGGGAAGCAACGGAAAUAUUUCUCAGCUCAGAAGUGCAGGCGUCCUCUUACUGAGGGAAAGAGUAAUUUCCUUCUAGGAUCAGUGGCAAAAGCUUGAGGUCAUUGUUCCCAUGCAGCGUUUCCCUUGGAGUUACUCAGCACACCCAGGUUGGGCGGGCACUGUCCCAGCAGCAAGUCAAUGUCCUGCCUUGCCCGUGCGGAGUUCUCUGUUGGGGUUUUGUGACCCAAGCUGUGGUCAGUCUGAUGCGCCUAGGGGCUCGCUCCCGGGUGAAGUCCCUCUACAAACACCUCCUGGAUUCUGUGGCACGAGAGUAGGGGGCGGCUGAGAAGAAGACUUUUCUGGAAGCUUUGCUGAGUGACUAGAAAUUUUACAUGUACCACUAGACCUAGCCUGUGUUUUUAGUGGCACCAGCCCCCUUGGGCCCUCUGAAGACAGGUCAUCGUGUGCCUCCGUGUUACCAGGGCUUUCUCCUGGAAACAAGGUCCUCCACUAUUGAGAGUGGGUCGUGGCUCUCAUGUCAGUGUGGCUUCAGCGUGCUGUCUGGAAGAGGGAAGGCUUCCAGAAAAUUCUGGGGCUUUUAGAGGGGGCAUUCCCUUCCUCUUCCAAAGGAGAUGAGACAGUUAUGAAUAGUGAAUCUUAUUUAAUAAGCUUAUUAAUUUGUUUGACAUUCACAAUGGCAGUUCCUCUCAUCUUGUUAGUAAGAAGUUCUUUGAAAGCGUUCCAGAGUAGAUAACUUUGUCAUAAGGCUUACAUAGAACUUUCUACAGGAGUUUAAGAUCCAUUUCAACUAAGAGAGAAUUUCAAAUAAGAUAAGGAGUAUUCAUUUCAUUUACAGGUUUAUAGGAAAUAUUUGUCUGCCCGUAUGUAUAAACAGUGGAUUCUUUGAUUUUUUUUGAAUCACAUUUGUUAGUGUUUCCUCAAACUGUUUAAAUAGUCAUAUGAGUGUUUCUUUGAUUUGAAAAACGUUGCCUGCCCUGUUGUGAGUGUAGGCACGCAAACAGCUCCCCUGCUUCAGCCACACACUGCUUGUGUAGCCUCCCAGCAUCCCCAGAGAGCUGAACGUAUCAUUUGAAAAGAGGCGUCAUUGUGAUUUUCUAUUUCCCCUCUUUUCUGUGUGUCAUGCACAUUUUAAAAUUUACUUGUUUAGUAACAUUUAAAGAUGUAUAUAUCUUUCCUGGGACCUAUUGCUCCUUUGUGAAGUACUGGAACAUGUUCUGUGUUACACAGUACCCCCCCUUACCCAUGCUUCCACUUUCCUAGGUUUUAAUUACCCACAGUCAACUGUGAUCUGAAAAUAUUAGAUGAGAAAUUCCAGAAAUAAACAAUUUGUAAGUUUCAGAUUGCAUACUCUUCUGGGUAGUACCAUGAUGAAGUCUGGUCGUCCUGCUGUGUCCAGCCCGGGAUGUGAGUCAUUCCUUUGUCCAGCAUGUCCAAGCUGUGUGGCACGUAUGGGCAGGAAAAAGCAUAGCAUAUACGGGGUUCAGCACCAUCCACGGUUUCUGACGUCCACAUGGUGGGGGGAGGGGGCGCUUCUUGAAACCCUCAUGGAUGAGGGGGACUACUGUGAACCAAAAGCUUAAUUUAAAGAGGUGACCACAGACUAUAUUGCACUAUUCAGGAUUUAGUUAUCUUUUUGAAUUGUAAACAGAUAAUCAAGAACAAACAUUCCGGAAGAUGUUUCUUGUUUCCUUUGCUUUUUAUUUUCUUCUGAUGCUUCUUGGUGUCUUUUCUUACUGCGGAUCCCACAGGGACACCUCCACAUCGCCAAGGUGCCACAGGGGGAGCAAGUCCAGAUCACGCAGGACAGCGAGAGCCCGUGUUCUGGUACUACGUGAAGGAGGUCCUCAACAAGCACGAGCUGCAAGCGCUUCUACUCCCUGCGCCACAUCGCCUCAGACGUGGGCCGGGGCCGCACCUGGCUGCGCUGUGCCCUCAACGAACACUCCCUGGAGCGCUACCUGCACAUGCUCCUGGCCGACCGCUGCAGGCUCAGUACUUUUUAUGAAGACUGGUCUUUUGUGAUGGAUGAAGAGAGGUCCAGUAUGCUUCCUACCAUGGCAGCAGGUCCGAACUCCAUACUCUUUGCGAUUAACAUUGACAACAAGGAUUUGAACGGGCAGAGUAAGUUUGCUCCCACCGUUUCAGACCUCUUAAAGGAGUCAACGCAGAAUGUGACCUUGCUGAAGGAGUCCACGCAAGGAGUGAGCAGCGUGUUCAGGGAGAUCACAGCCUCCUCUGCCAUCUCCAUCCUCAUCAAACCUGAACAGGAGACCGACCCCUUGCCCGUCGUGUCCAGGAAUGUCAGUGCUGAUGCCAAAUGCAAAAAGGAGCGGAAGAAGAAAAAGCAAGUGACCAACAUUAUCUCAUUUGAUGAUGAGGAAGAUGAGCAGAACUCUGGGGACAUGUUUAAAAAGACACCUGGGGCAGGGGAGAGCUCAGAGGACAACUCCGACCACUCCUCUGUCAAUAUCAUGUCCGCCUUUGAAAGCCCCUUCGGGCCAAACUCCAAUGGAAGUCAGAGCAGCAACUCGUGGAAAAUUGAUUCCCUGUCUUUGAACAGGGAGUUUGGGUACCAGAAGCUUGAUGUGAAAAGCAUCGAUGAUGAAGAUGUGGAUGAAAACGAAGAUGACGUGUAUGGAAACUCAUCAGGACGGAAGCACAGGGGCCACUCAGAGUCGCCCGAGAAAAACGGAGCACACUCUGUCACCCAGGCUGGAGUGCAAUGGCACGAUCUCAGCUCACUACAACCUCUGCCUCCCGGGUUCAAGUGAUUCUACUGCCUCAGCCUCCCGUGUAGCUGGGAUUACAGGCGCGCACCAACACACCCGACUAAUUUUUGUAUUUUUAGUAAAGACAGGGUUUCACCAUGUUGGCCAGGCUGGUCUUGCACUCCUGACCUCACGUGAUCUGCCCCACCUUGGCCUCCCAAAGUGCUGGGAUUACAGGUGUGAACCACUGCGCCCAGCC
rnacentral:lncRNA from 1 species